UGGGGAAUUUUGGACAAUGGGCGAAAGCCUGAUCCAGCAAUGCCGCGUGUGUGAAGAAGGCCUUCGGGUUGUAAAGCACUUUUGUCCGGAAAGAAAUCCUUGGCUCUAAUACAGUCGGGGGAUGACGGUACCGGAAGAAUAAGCACCGGCUAACUACGUGCCAGCAGCCGCGGUAAUACGUAGGGUGCAAGCGUUAAUCGGAAUUACUGGGCGUAAAGCGUGCGCAGGCGGUUUGCUAAGACCGAUGUGAAAUCCCCGGGCUCAACCUGGGAACUGCAUUGGUGACUGGCAGGCUAGAGUAUGGCAGAGGGGGGUAGAAUUCCACGUGUAGCAGUGAAAUGCGUAGAGAUGUGGAGGAAUACCGAUGGCGAAGGCAGCCCCCUGGGCCAAUACUGACGCUCAUGCACGAAAGCGUGGGGAGCAAACAGGAUUCAGAUACCCUGGUAGUCCACGCCCUAAACGAUGUCAACUAGUUGUUGGGGAUUCAUUUCCUUAGUAACGUAGCUAACGCGUGAAGUUGACCGCCUGGGGAGUACGGUCGCAAGAUUAAAACUCAAAUGAAUUGACGGACGUCAUA
rnacentral:rRNA from 1 species